AGACAUUAAACUCAAAAUACCAGUUGAAACAACUUCUCCCUUCUUGGUAAGAGACAAUUUUUCAGAUGAUAAGACAGAGGAACCCAAGAGCUUUGAGUCCAACCAUGGAGAUUCAAAGAACCUUUUCCAAUAUCAAAGUAGUGUACGACGAAUUUUGGUGUCUUAGAGAUCGAUCCACCCGAUCCUUUUCCACUAUCAUAAUUACCGAGCUAGGAACCCCAUCAACCCAAAUACCAGAAUAAUGUCUUCUCCUUCCUUCCAUCGCCAGAAUGUGGGCCACUCCAUUGAUCCGUUAGGGAACGAACAGGUAAUGUACUUUUUCAAAGUGUUUUUCCAAUAUAUGAAUAUGGUUAAUAAUAUAUCUAAGGAUUGAUUUGUCUUCUUCCUUUGCCUUAAGCUUUUUGAUGACCAUCAGAGAGUCUCCUUCCACUAUCAAGUAUCGAAAACCCAUUCGAAGUGCAAAGAGUAAAAUCCUUUCACACGCCUUAGCUUCAGCCACGAACGCAUCAGCUACAUCCGUAAACAGAUAAGUUUCUGCUCCUACUAUUUCUCCUUCAGAAUCUCUAGCUAGGACUGCAGUUGAGGAAGUUUUAGAGUUGCUUUGAAAGGUUGCAUCAAAUUUUAAUUUGAUAAAACCUAGAUCUGGAGGCCUCCAAAAUUCAUUCGGCAGGGAAAUACAAGCCACUCCCAUUUUCUCUUGACAUAGAUUUAUUUCAUGACCAUAACCUCGAAUGAAUCCUAACAGUUCCUGCAAAGAAAAACUAAUACCUUUAUGAAUCAACUUAUUUCUUAUGUACCACAGGGCCAUGAGGAAAUUGCAAUAAGCUGUUUGUUUAGUUCACCUGCAAAACAGAAAUUUUUAACAAAAUGAUUUUUGCAGCUCAAGGCAUUGUCAACUGGAGUGAUUUUGAUUUGAAGAGAUGCCCAGACACUCUAUAAAGUACCACAGGACCAAAAUAG
rnacentral:lncRNA from 1 species